GCGGAUGUGGCGAAACUGGUAGACGCACAUGCCUUAGGAGCAUGCGAGGAAACUCAUGAGAGUUCGAGUCUCUCCAUCCGCAC
rnacentral:tRNA from 1 species